rnacentral:rRNA from 1 species
GCAUAUCAAUAAGCGGAGGAAAAGAAACCAACAGGGAUUGCCCUAGUAACGGCGAGUGAAGCGGCAACAGCUCAAAUUUGAAAUCUGGCUCUUUUAGAGUCCGAGUUGUAAUUUGCAGAGGGCGCUUUGGCUUUGGCAGCGGUCCAAGUUCCUUGGAACAGGACGUCACAGAGGGUGAGAAUCCCGUACGUGGUCGCUAGCUAUUGCCGUGUAAAGCCCCUUCGACGAGUCGAGUUGUUUGGGAAUGCAGCUCUAAAUGGGAGGUAAAUUUCUUCUAAAGCUAAAUACUGGCCAGAGACCGAUAGCGCACAAGUAGAGUGAUCGAAAGAUGAAAAGCACUUUGGAAAGUGAGUCAAACAGCACGUGAAAUUGUUGAAAGGGAAGCGCUUGCAGCCAGACUUGCUUGCAGUUGCUCAUCCGGGCUCUUUUGCCCGGUGCAUUCUUCUGCAGGCAGGCCAGCAUCAGUUUGGGCGGUGGGAUAAAGGUCUCUGUCACGUACCUCUCUUCGGGGAGGCCUUAUAGGGGAGACGACAUACCACCAGCCUGGACUGAGGUCCGCGCAUUUAUGCUAGGAUGCUGGCGUAAUGGCUGUAAGCGGUCCGUCUUGAAACACGGACC